rnacentral:tRNA from 1 species
GGUUGUGGCUCAGAGGUAGAGCGCUUGCCUAGCAUGCAUGAGGCACUGGGUUUGAUCCUCAGCACCA